GGAUGUGGGAGCAAUCUGGCUGUGGCAUCUCUCACCCCACUAGUAGCCAGCACUGAUUUGGUAGAUAUGGCUGGCUAGGGGAGUGCUCUGUUCCUCCCUCAGUGCUCCACGCAUGUCUCUCCUAAAGCUGUGUAGCUGGUUGACCUGGUGACCUUCCCCAAACAGAGACAGAGGGUCUUCAGUCAAGGGUCUAUACGAAUAGCUGCCCCCCACCCCACAAGAACCUCCAGCCAAGAACUCAGUGUCUUACAAUAUUAUUUCCAGCUACGCACAGAGGUUGAUCAUGUUUAAAAAACAAAACGGUAUACUGAGGGGAAAGUCCUCUGAUUGAUUU
rnacentral:snRNA from 1 species